CCCUGGGGCGUCAAGUCUCUGCAGGAUUAGCUCAGAUGCACUUUCUUUCUUUACAGGACAUUUUUUGUGUUUUCAUAAAACUCGACUUGGUGGUCAGUGUGACUCUAAUGUGGAAUUUCCUGUAUUUGGAGAAAAUGUUUGGAGUGUUGCUGCUUAUUUGGUCCACUGGAGACCCUGUCUGGAUUGUGUUAAGUGACAUUUUGCCUCGACCUUUUGUUCCUUCUCUUUCGGCUUUAAGGAAAAACAAACAGAUGAGCAGAUACGGCUCCAGGCCUGCUUUGUGGGGUGAGGUCCUAGGGUUGAUGCUAUGCACAGCGAGCGAAGGUCCCACCACAGCUUCCCGCUGCGUACGAUCCGUACAUCCAUUCAGUCUUGGAGCAUUUAGAAGUUCUCUUGGCUUGAACUGUCUUGGAUAUCCCUGAAGGUUGUAAAUUGCUGAACUGUCAGGACCUUAUCUGAGCCAGUAUUGUUUACUUAGGCAGUGAGGACCCAGGGCACAGGAGCCUAGCUUGGAGCAAACUAGCAGUGUAAGCUGGACAGACAUGGUGGUGCACACCGGUUGUAAACCUGACAGGCCUUCUUAUGAACUCUAGACUUGUUCUACCAGAGGGAUCUGGAAACUUCCUUAUGUUUCCAUGGAAGACGAGGGGCAGGCGAUCAGGAGUCCAGGCCCUGUAUGGGCUACAUGAGAGGUCGUCUCCAGAAACCAGCAAUGGAACAGCAGUUCUGAGGAAGAUGCCUUGGCCGCCCACCAGCUUCUUUGAUUCCACCCCGGAGGCCCAGGAUGUUCUGGAUGCUCUGCAGUGUGAUCCUGUCCUUAGGAUGCGGAUGCUCUCAGGAACCUACAUCUGCCCUACUCCCCUCCACCCACGGUGUUGUUUGCAUGCCUCCCCACCCCAGGGCCACUCUGUUUUCCACGUUGCUCCUGACCUUGGCCUUCUUGGGGUUCCCUGGGUAACAGGAUGCUGUUUAUCCACUUGGGAAGCUGUGUCUCCCUGUGUCAUGGCAACCUGAGCUGCUGCUUGCUCCUAAGGAAACCCAUGCUUGCUCUCCAGGUCGUUUUCCUGAGUCCCAGAACAGUUCACAUAGAUUUUCCUGUACAAUAAGAAUUUUAUGACUUUAA